UUACGGCCAUAUCACGUUGAAACACCGAUUCCCGUACAAUCACCGAAGUUAAGCAAUAUCGAGCCUGGUCAGUACAUAGAUGCGUGGCCGCUUGGAAAUAGCAGGUGAUGU